GGGGACGACAUGGCUUCGACGCUGGUGGCGAACCCUUGGGUGCAUGUCGAGAUGGCAGCCAAUCUCGUUAAUCCAAAGCUGCAACGCAAUAGUCGCAAACGACGAAAACUACGCACUAGCAGCGUAAGCUGCUAGUCG
rnacentral:tmRNA from 1 species